CAUUACAGAGAAUUGAAAUAAUUCGGAGAGCGGGGAUAUAUUACGUGGGGGGGAAGAGUGGGGUGAAUGAACCUGCCUGCGCUUAGUUGCGCGGCUCUCUUUCCUCCUCCUGCCCCGCCUUUGAUUUAUACACACAGUGGAGUUUCUGCUUUUCUUUAUUUUGAUGGCUUUGGGGGGUGUGUGAGCCCCCCAGAGGUAAACAACACAAACAAGUUUUUUUUUUUAUUCUAUAUAUGCACUAGUCAAGAAACAAGAAUUCGGAGAAAAAACGAAUUAACGAAUAUUCAAAACUUUCAACAACGGAUCUCUUGGUUCUCGCAUCGAUGAAGAACGCAGCGAACUGCGAUACGUAAUGUGAAUUGCAGAAUUCCGUGAAUCAUCGAAUCUUUGAACGCACAUUGCGCCCCUUGGUAUUCCAGGGGGCAUGCCUGUUUGAGCGUCAUUUCCCUCUCAAACGCUUGCGUUUGGUAGUGAGCGAUACUCUUUUUGUGUGUAUCUCUGAGGAGUUUGCUUGAAAGUGGGAGGCCAUAGGCGGAGCCUAGCUUGAGCGUGUGGUGGAGGAACUGUGCCGAGAGGUGCAGGGCCGCGCUGCAACGCCUGGCCACGAAAACGAAGUCGUAUUAGGUUUUACCGACUCGGCGAAGGAAGUAGUGGACGGGGGGAAAAGAGCGGAGCUCUCUUUUUUGUUUUGUUUGUUGAUGAUACGACGAGCAAGAGCAGCAGAGCCUGGCUUGAGAGAAUUCACAAAGUUUGACCUCAAAUCAGGUAGGAUUACCCGCUGAACU
rnacentral:misc_RNA from 1 species